GAGGUGCCAGACAUCAAUCCUUCAAAUCAUUCUAAGAUGCGACUGCAUGGUGGAAUUCAAACCAUGCAAGUACGAGUAGUGGGUUAAUGUUCUGGAGUUGUGGUGAGGUUGAUUCACUUAACUAUGCCACUAAUUCGAUCCAAGAAAUUCCAAGAUCCAUGGUGUGCAAGAGUACCUAAACAGAUGAUACUCCCACGAAUGACGGGGAAACGGUGGCUGCAUUAGUAAUUCCAUCUUGGUUUCAUUAUUCAUAUUAUAUAUAAUCGUUAAGCUGUAGUUUCAGUGUUCCAACACUUAUUCUCACACUGAUUUUGGUAGACAUCAGAUAUUUGAAUCCCGUACCCUUUUUCAAUGGCAUGUGUAACUGCAGGAUACGAAUACGUUUUAAUUAUCUCUAAAUCUGCAUGUAUUUAAUUCUAUCUGAUCUAUUCCAGGUGAAUGUUAAUGUAACAUGUGUUUUAAUUUCCCCCAUGCAUUCCAUUCUUUUAACAAUCGUCCAAUAUUCUCCAUGAGUAUAGAGUUCACAGCAUUCCGUCCAGGCACCUGAACACAAGUGUGCAAGUGCCAGGUAGUACUCAGACUUGGUAGAAGAAUAUGCAUUAUAUUUGUUUGGGUUGAUGUUGUAUGCUUUUCAUCCGUCACCAAAUUUCUCCUUCUCGAGUCGGAUCGUUAUUGAUUUACUAAACAGUUUAUCCGUGAAUGCGUUUAUUCUCAACCUCCUCCUACAGUAAGGUCAUGCACCAAACAACCGCGUAGGCCGGACUCCAACUCCGGGACUUGAUUCCCUCGGCUUGUACAAUAAUUCAUGUCCCUGGUUCACGAUCUGUGAGGUGGCUCCAUCUUUCCGAUCUAUCACAUGACAUAAAUAUUGUGGUCGUCUUGUAGGGGAGAUAGGAGCAACGUGAUAGAAGUGGUGAAAUUUUGCGUGAUGUUUAUUUUGAAUUGAUAUGAUUGUUGUAUGUAACUUAAUCCUUGAGUGUGGCUUAUGUCUGAUGUGGUAGCGUCAAUUGCUUUCAAUAUAGUAUAUCAACUAAUUUUGGAUAGAUGUUAACCUCCAUUUCCAGGGCUGUGAUCCACCCAAUGUACCCAAUGGCUGUUGAUCGGUGCUCUGGACCCCACCAUGAUGUAUAGCUUCCAUCCAUGCUACCCAUCUAUUUUUCUACAUCUUUUCAUGGUAUGAGACCAAAAUAUGAAA